rnacentral:rRNA from 1 species
AGCAGCCGCCACGGUAAAACGGAGGGUGCAAGCGUUAAUCGGAAUUACUGGGCGUAAAGCGCACGCAGGCGGUCUGACAAGUCAGAUGUGAAAUCCCCGGGCUUAACCUGGGAACUGCAUUUGAAACUGUCAGGCUGGAGUCUUGUAGAGGGGGGUGGAAUUCCAGGUGUAGCGGUGAAAUGCGUAGAGAUCUGGAGGAAUACCGGUGGCGAAGGCGGCCCCCUGGACAAAGACUGACGCUCAGGUGCGAAAGCGUGGGGAGCAAACAGGAUUAGAGACCCCAGUAGUCCCUGUCUCUUAUAC